rnacentral:lncRNA from 1 species
CACCGACCCCGGGGACACAGCAGCACUGAGGCAGAAGAAUGAGGGCUUUACUUCCCAGCUCCAGCCCUCCCAACACACCGACGUCUCCCGGCCCGGCUUUGCCGCAGGCGCUGUGGGGGCUGCGCUGCCAUGUCGUGACAGGGCGGGGGGUUCGCUGUCGUGACAGAGCUCCGGAGGUGUCAGCGUCGUGACGAGGCCUACGCUGCGAGAUGGCGGCACGCGGGGCGGUGACAGAAGGACGGGGCUGCGGAGGGGACAGCGGUACUAUCGCGAUACGCUCCACGCAGUGGCGACGUGGGGACCACCCCGCGGCCCGGCGCGGGCUCAGGGGCUGCGGCGAAGCGGCGGACUCCGCCGGGGCGGAGCCAGAAACAAGAUGGCGCCCGGCCC